rnacentral:rRNA from 1 species
GAUGAACGCUGGCGGCGUGCCUAACACAUGCAAGUCGAACGGAGAUUUAACGCUGAUGAGGCUUCGGCGGAUUCUUGUUAAAUCUUAGUGGCGGACGGGUGAGUAACGCGUGGGCAACCUGCCUCAUACUGGGGGAUAACAGUUGGAAACGGCUGUUAAUACCGCAUAAGCGCACAGCAUCGCAUGAUGCAGUGUGAAAAACUCCGGUGGUAUGAGAUGGGCCCGCGUCAGAUUAGCCAGUUGGCAGGGUAACGGCCUACCAAAGCAACGAUCUGUAGCCGGCCUGAGAGGGCGGACGGCCACAUUGGGACUGAGACACGGCCCAAACUCCUACGGGAGGCAGCAGUGGGGGAUAUUGCACAAUGGAGGAAACUCUGAUGCAGCGACGCCGCGUGAGUGAAGAAGUAUUUCGGUAUGUAAAGCUCUAUCAGCAGGGAAGAAAGGCUCGUAAGAGAGAUGAC